GGGCCCAUAGCUCAGUUGGUCAGAGCAUCCGGCUCAUAACCGGCUGGUCGGCAGUUCAAGUCUGCCUGGGCCCACCA
rnacentral:tRNA from 1 species